rnacentral:rRNA from 1 species
UAGGGAAUCUUCCGCAAUGGACGAAAGUCUGACGGAGCAACGCCGCGUGAGUGAUGAAGGGUUUCGGCUCGUAAAGCUCUGUUAUGAGGGAAGAACACGUACCGUUCGAAUAGGGCGGUACCUUGACGGUACCUCAUCAGAAAGCCACGGCUAACUACGUGCCAGCAGCCGCGGUAAUACGUAGGUGGCAAGCGUUGUCCGGAAUUAUUGGGCGUAAAGCGCGCGCAGGCGGCCUUUUAAGUCUGAUGUGAAAUCUUGCGGCUCAACCGCAAGCGGUCAUUGGAAACUGGAGGGCUUGAGUACAGAAGAGGAGAGUGGAAUUCCACGUGUAGCGGUGAAAUGCGUAGAUAUGUGGAGGAACACCAGUGGCGAAGGCGACUCUCUGGUCUGUAACUGACGCUGAGGCGCGAAAGCGUGGGGAGCAAACA